GGACCCGCACAAGCAGUGGAGCAUGUGGUUUAAUUCGAUGCAACGCGAAGAACCUUACCAGGGCUUAAAUGUAGUGGGACAGGUCUAGAGAUAGACCCUUCUUCGGACUCAUUACAAGGUGCUGCAUGGUUGUCGUCAGCUCGUGCCGUGAGGUGUCAGGUUAAGUCCUAUAACGAGCGCAACCCCUAUCGUUAGUUGCCAGCGGGUCAUGCCGGGAACUCUAGCGAAACUGCCGGUGCAAACCGUGAGGAAGGUGGGGAUGACGUCAAAUCAUCACGGCCCUUACGUCCUGGCCUACACACGUGCUACAAUGGCCGGUACAGAGAGCAGCCACUACGCGAGUAG
rnacentral:rRNA from 1 species